GAUUGAGUCACCAUCCCCAGAGAUAUUUAAAAGAGAUGUAGAUGUGGUGCUCAGGUCAUGGCUUAGUGGUGGACUUGGAAGCGCUGGGCUAAGGAUUGGAAUGGAUGUUCUUAAUGCUCUUUUCCAAACUAAAUGAUUCUAUGACUAUUGAAUGAUCAAGAGCAUGAGAGAAUGUGCAUGUGGACAUCUGAUUUAAUAAAGAUUGGAAUACACACAUGGAACACUUCUCUUUUUUCCAGGUAGAACUGGUAAGUGUUAUUUAAAUCAGAUACUUCCUAAAACUUUAUGUUACUUAAGGAAACUAUGCAGUUUUCCCAGGUUGAGGCAUCUUUCUCCAUACCUUCUUACAAAAGAACUCCUCUAUUUAAUUAGCAUUGACGUGAUAUCCACUGAUGAUUGUACAGAGUGUUC
rnacentral:lncRNA from 1 species